ACUCAAAGGAAUUGACGGGGGCCCGCACAAGCGGUGGAGCAUGUGGUUUAAUUCGAAGCAACGCGAAAAACCUUACCAAGGCUUGACAUCCCGAUGAAGUGCGUAGAGAUACGUAUGCCUCUCGGGGCAUCGGUGACAGGUGGUGCAUGGUUGUCGUCAGCUCGUGUCGUGAGAUGUUGGGUUAAGUCCCGCAACGAGCGCAACCCUUACGUUUAGUAACCAUCAUUAAGUUGGGCACACUAGACGGACUGCCGUGGAUAACACGGAGGAAGGUGGGGACGACGUCAAAUCAUCAUGCCCCUUAUGUCUUGGGCUACACACGUGCUACAAUGGCGUCUACAAAGCGAAGCGAAGCCGCAAGGUGGAGCAAAACGCACAAAGGACGCCUCAGUUCGGAUUGCGCUCUGCAACUCGAGCGCAUGAAGUUGGAAUCGCUAGUAAUCGCGAAUCAGCAUGUCGCGGUGAAUACGUUCCCGGGCCUUGUACACACCGCCCGU
rnacentral:rRNA from 1 species